rnacentral:rRNA from 1 species
AAUGAACGCUGGCGGCAGGCCUAAAACAUGCGAGUCGAACGCCCUAGCAAUAGGGAGUGGCGCACGGGUGAGUAACAUGUGGGAAUAUGCCUUUUGGUACGGAACAACGUUUGGAAACGAACGCUAAUACCGUAUGGUCCCUCCGGGGUACAGAUUUAUCGCCAAAAGAUUAGACCGCACUAGAUUAGCUAGUUGGUAAGGUAAUGGCUUACCAAGGCGACGAUCUAUAGCUGUUCUGAGAGGAAGAUCAGCCACACUGGGACUGAGACACGGCCCAGACUCCUACGGGAGGCAGCAGUUAGGAAUAUUGGACAAUGGGCGCAAGCCUGAUCCAGCCAUGCCGCGUGAGUGAUGAAGGCCUUCGGGUUGUAAAGCUCUUUAGCCGACGAAUAUAAUGACUGUAGUCGGAGAAUAAGCCCCGGCUAACUUCGUGCCAGCCGCCGCCGUAAGAC